AAAGUUGGGCCAGAUGGACUGCCUGUUUCCGGGGACAACCAAUCAAUGAUGUCAGGAACUACUUUGGAGAGAAGGUGGCUCUGUAUUACCUCUGGCUGGGCUGGUACACCCUUCUGUUGCUCCCUGCAGCUCUGUUAGGGGUCAUUGUCUUCCUCUACGCGCUGGCUUUCUACAAGACCUCGCCACUUAUAAAGGAGGUGUGUGAGUCGAACACAAUCAUGUGUCCUCUGUGUGACAAGAGAUGCAAAGUGUGGCUUCUCAGUGAUACCUGCCUUUACGCCAAGGU